UACAGAGGGGGCAAGCGGUUGUUCGGAAUUACUGGGCGGUAAAGGGCGCGUAGGCGGCCCGCUAAGUCGAACGUGAAAUCCCUGGGCUCAACCCAGGAACUGCGUCGAUACUGGCGGGCUUGAAUCCGGGAGAGGGAUGUGGAAUUCCAGGUGUAGCGGUGAAAUGCGCAGAUAUCGGGAGGAACACCAAUUGCGAAGGCAGCUCGCUGGGACGUCACUGACGCUGGAGACGGCGAAAAGCG
rnacentral:rRNA from 1 species